rnacentral:lncRNA from 1 species
AGAUGUGAGUAACCUGUCUCUGCCUCAUCCUCAGUUGUGACAACUGAAACUGUCUCUAGGCAUUGCCAGUGCCUCUGGAAGAAAUGCACUGCACUGAGCUACAAGCUUCCUGAGAAUAGGAGCCUUCUAUGUGUGUGCUCACGUUCCCAGUUGGGGAGACUUUGCUGAUGUUCGCUUUUUCCUCUCCAGCACCGAGCUUAUGCACAGGCGUUGAACUUGUACACUGAGUUAUUAAAUAACAGACUUAGUGCUGAUGUAUACACCUUUAAUGCAUUGAUUGAAGCAAAAACAUUCAUUCCCAAUGAGAAAUUUGAGGAAAAAUGGAAUGAUAUAUUGGAUCUACUAAGACAUAUGGUUGCACAGAAGGUAAAGCCAAACCUGCAGACGUUUAACACAACGCUGAAAUGUCUCCGCAAGUUUCAUUCACUUGGAAGGCUACCAGCCUUACAGAUACUACGUGAAAUGAAACAUAUUGGAAUAGAACCCUCACUUGCAACUUACCAUCAUAUCAUUCACCUCUUUUACCCACGAGGUAGCUCUAUAAAAAUACCAUCCCUUAUCAUCUAUGAUAUCAUGAAUGAAUUAGAGGGAAGAACAUUUUCUCCACAGGACCUGGAUGAUGAUAAAUUUUUCCAGUCGGCCAUGACUGUGUGUUCAUCUCUCAGAGAUUUAGAGCUUGCUUACCAAUUACAUGGUCUUUUAAACACGGGAGACAACCGGAAACUGAUUGGACCUGAUUCUCAGCGUAAAGCGUAUUAUUCGAAGUUUUUCAGUUUGAUUUGUUCACUGGAACAAAUUGAUGUCACCCUGAAGUGGUAUAAGGACCUGAUACCUUCAGUAUUUCUUCCCCACUCCCAAAUAUUCAUAGGUCUUCUUCAAGCAGUGGAUGUGGCCAAUAGGUUAGAAAUGGUUCCUCAGAUUUGGAAAGACAGUAAAGAAUAUGGCCAUACUUUUCGAGGUGCCCUAAGAGAAGAAGUGUUGAUGCUCAUGGCCAGGGAUAAACAUUCACCAGAGAUCCUCUCAGCUUCAGGUUGCAUUUGCUGACUGUGCUGCUGAUAUCAAAUCCACAUAUGAAAACCAGGAUGCCCGGCAGACAGCUCUUGAUUGGCCAGCCAACCCUUUACAUUAUAUAGCCUUCCUUUUUUUAAGAGGGGGCAGAACCCAGGAAGCCUGAAAUGAGUUGCUGGAGGAAUUUAUGGACACAGCAAAAGCAUCCAGUAGCACUACUCUGGCCAUUGAGGUUGUCAGGCUGGCAAGUGCCUUUAGCUUGCCUAUUAGUGAGAGCCUUGCCCAAAGAGUAAUGAUGGAUUUCACAGUUGACCCAGAGCAAAAAGAAGCCCUGAGUAACCUCACUGCACUGAACAGUAGUGAUGGAGAAAGCAGCAGUGACAGUGACAGUGACAUCAGUGAAAACAAAUGAAAGGAAGAAGUGGCUCACAAUAGCUGCUAGAAUGUUAGAAGUGGUAAAAUACACAGAUACAGGGCUGGCAUCUAAUAGAAGUUCCUUUGUAUUACACUGGCCUAAACACAAGACCCCUUGGAAAUGCAAGGGGGGGGGGGGUGUUCAUUUGCAGUACCGCAAGGUGCACAUCUGGCCAAUUUUUUGCCAAGACAGCAACAAGCACUGUGAAGUCUGACUUUUGGGGAACAAAUCCCACAUACUGCAGACCUUCCUCAUUCCUACUACACCCAUCAUUUUAGAACCCACAGGCCUUUGCUGCCUACCUUCUGUGUGCAGUUUAACUGACGAGAGACAAGAGUUUAAACUGGUUUUCAUGAAGAUGCCUACUUGCUGUUGAGUUGAUCAUAUCCCAGUUUGGGGAGUACUUAAAAAGAUGGAUGGUCUUAGGACUAAUUAAAUCAGAAGCAAGCUACUGGUUUUGGCUGCCCAAAUGGUAAAAUCAUUAAAUAAAGCAAUUGUGUUAUUCUUAAAAAUCUAA